GAUGAACGCUAGCGGCAGGCUUAACACAUGCAAGUCGAGGGGCAUCAAGAUGUAGCAAUACAUUGUUGGCGACCGGCGCACGGGUGAGUAACACGUAUGCAACCUACCUACUACAGGGGAAUAACCCGGAGAAAUUCGGACUAAUACCGCAUAACACAGGGAUGCCGCAUGGCAAUAUUUGUUAAAGAUUUAUCGGUAGUAGAUGGGCAUGCGUUCCAUUAGCCAGUUGGUGAGGUAACGGCUCACCAAAGCAACGAUGGAUAGGGGAACUGAGAGGUUUAGCCCCCACACUGGAACUGAGACACGGACCAGACUCCUACGGGAGGCAGCAGUGAGGAAUAUUGGUCAAUGGACGAGAGUCUGAACCAGCCAAAUCGCGUGAAGGAAGACUGCCUUAUGGGUUGUAAACUUCUUUUAUAAGGGAAUAAAAAGAGUCACGUGUGAUUUAUUGCAUGUACCUUAUGAAUAAGCAUCGGCUAACUCCGUGCCAGCCGCCGCAGUAA
rnacentral:rRNA from 1 species